AACGAACGCUGGCGGCAUGCCUAACACAUGCAAGUCGAACGAGACCUUCGGGUCUAGUGGCGCACGGGUGCGUAACGCGUGGGAACCUGCCCUUAGGUUCGGAAUAACUCCCCGAAAGGGGUGCUAAUACCGGAUAAUGUCUUCGGACCAAAGAUUUAUCGCCUUUGGAUGGGCCCGCGUUGGAUUAGCUAGUUGGUAGGGUAAAAGCCUACCAAGGCGACGAUCCAUAGCUGGUCUGAGAGGAUGAUCAGCCACACUGGGACUGAGACACGGCCCAGACUCCUACGGGAGGCAGCAGUGGGGAAUAUUGGACAAUGGGCGAAAGCAUGAUCCAGCAAUGCCGCGUGAGUGAUGAAGGCCUUAGGGUUGUAAAGCUCUUUUAACCGGGAUGAUAAUGACAGUACCGGGAGAAUAAGCCCCGGCUAACUCCGUG
rnacentral:rRNA from 1 species